UGAAGAGAGGGCGGGAUAACUCUACCCACGUGAUCAUCCACGAGCGCCGUGCAGGGUCGCUGAGAACAACAGGAAGUGCAGAUGCCGGAGAAUUCGAGACAACACGGUGCAGAGCUGGAUGAACAUAGCAGGUCAAGCAGCAUCAGAAGAGCAGGAAAGCUGGCGUUUCGGGUCUCGAUCCUUCGCUGAGACCAAGAUUUGUGCAAUUGAGAUACCAGCGAUCGUUGCCAAAGCCCUGCUACCUCUGGAGAAGGAUUCGAAGCCAGGUCCCCAGGAUGUUAUCUGGGUCUCUGAAUAAAUAAUCUAGCGAUAAUACUGCUGCCGAUUUUAUCACCUGCGGAGGAUGGUCUAUGGCAUUCUGCAGGAGCCAUGAGACUUCCAGGCGUCAGAGUCAGUGUCGAGUACUCCCAGGUCAGUUACUGCGGUCAGAAUGGCACUGUGCUGCCACGUCUGUCCUGCUCCUGGGACAGGUCUUCACUAAGGAUAAUAGAAGGGGACUUCCAUGUGGGGAACUCAAUAAUUUUAACACCAAACUCUGACAGAAUUACUCAAUUCAUCAGCACCUGGAUAUUUGCAUUGUGUGUGAAUAUUGUGUUCCUGCUCAUUUCUCAUUUGCCGUGUAAAAUUUCUCUCUUAAAUCACCCCAUUUUCUCAAUAGAUCGUCCCUAAAAUUUUCAAUGUGUCCUGUAAUUUUUUUUAAGAUCAGUCAUGAGUCUACAUUUUAUCAUUCUAAAGUGUUUCUUUUGUAAACACCUCUAUCAAAGGUCCCCUCAAAAUCCUUUGUGACAAGGAGAGCAAUCUCAGUUUCCCCAAACACCUGAUUCCCCAAUGACUGUUUGCUGUCUAUAAGGCACUCGUCUGGAUUGUAUUGGAACAUUUUCCACUUCCCUGCAUGCGUACAGCCCCAACACUGUUCGAAAAAGUGAACAUCCUCCAGAAGAAGCGCUCUGUCAGAGUCGUGUCCCAUCCACCACAUUCGACAUUCCCCUCUACACCACCAAGGCACAGUGGCAUCACUGUGCCAAAGGUAAAGUCACCAUUGUCCUAACUGACCAUAGGGCUGGUUUAACCUGAAGAUUACCACACCCGACUCGAGGGGAGAGGUUGAGAAGGAGAGUCCAUCUAUUAUAGAUGGAUAUUUGCUGUGUACCAGCAAUGCAAAAGUCAAAUGAAAGAAUAAUGUCAAAAAAAAAGCUCUAACCAUGCAACUAAAAACCUUCUUCCCUACAAACCAUUCUGUUAAAUCUCCUCUGCCCCCUGUCAGGGACCCUCCCGUCCUUCACAGUGUGUGUGGGAUCUUUGGUUUGCACAGACUCAGCUCGUCUCUGUUCCUGUCUGUGAUGUCAUCAUGCUGUGACAAUGGUACUGAACCUCACUGUCUGUGAGGGUGGUAGGCACAGAGAUCCUCAUAGCGUUUAAGGCAUAUUUAGAUGCCCACUUGUGAUGCCAACGCAGACAAGUCUAUGGGCCAAGUGCUGGAAAAUUAGUUUAGAGUCGUUAGGUAAUAGUUUUUAACUGGCACAGGCUGGAUGGGCCACAGAGCCUUUUUCUGGACUGGAGACCUUCGAGACUCUUCACAUAGGAAGAUGCCAAGCAAUAUUUCAAGCCAUUUCAGAAAAUGAGAUACUACAAUGAUCAAUCAUGAGCUAUUCAAUGUUUUCUGGAGAAAAGUGAGGUACAGCGAUGAAGUGGUUUACCAAGAAUUUCUGGAGCUUGAAUCCCAGGAAAUUGCAGGUGCCACCAUCAAGUGGAGGAAUAAAAAUGGGGCAUCAUCAUUAGGACUGUAUUAGAGGAAGGGACAUGUUGAGAUUUGUGAGGCUGGAGAAUAUUAGAGACAGGAAGGGUUCUGAGACUGGAGAAGAUUUAAAAAGUCGGGAAAAGUGAGUUUGGAGGAGGUUACAGAAAUGGUGAGGAUUGUGAGGCUGGAUUAGAUGUCAAACAAAGGGAGGUUUGUGAGGGUAAAGACAGUUAGAGCUAAGGAAGUUUAUAUGGGCUGGAGGAUUUUGGAGACAGGAGGGUGUUGAACAAAGAACAAAAAUUACAGCACAGGAACAGGCCCUUCGGCCCUCUAAGCCUGUGCCGAUCCAGAUCCUCUAUCCAACCCUGUCACCUAUUUUCCAAUGAUCUGUAUCUGUCUUCUCCCUGCCCAUUCAUGUAUCUGUCUAGAUACAUCUUAAAUGAUGCUAUCGUGCCCACCUCUACCACCUCCGCUGGCAAUGCAUUCCAGGCACCCACCACCUGCUGUGUAAAGAAUUUUCCACACAUAUCCCCCUUAAACGUUUCCCCCCUCACCUUGAAACCUGGAGGAGAUUAAAGGUGAGGUUUGUGAGACUGGAGAAUCUACAGAGAGGGUAAGAGUUUUGAGGCUAGAGGGGGAUUCCAACGAUAGGCAGGUCGUAAGGCUUGAGAGGGAUUCCAGCAACGUGGAGGGUGGUGAGGCUUGAGGUGAUGGCUACAAUAGUGCAGGUAGUGAGACUCGAGGGUCAUUCCCAUGAUAGGGAGGGUAGUGAGGUUUGAGGAAUGAUUCCUCCGAUAGAGAGGGUGUUGAGGCUUCAGCGCAGAUUAUCGUCUGAACAGCACAGUGGUGUACUUGAAGCAUGUGGAGUGCAGCAUUUACAGAAAGUGGUUCAACACCACUUUCUGCAAAUCAAAUAAAAAUGGCAAUCAAUAUUACUCUGGGCAGCAAAGGCCACAUCCCAUGAGUCAAUUAAAAUUAUGAUGUGUUUCUGGUUUGGAGAGAGCUAGAAGAAGCUGAGAUAAUUCUCCUUGGGGCUGAUUAGGAAUGAUUUUGUCGAGUAGUAGGUUUGUUUGCAGGAUAUUAGU